UUUCAAUAUUUGCUCUUUAUUUUUCUUCAUUUUGAGAAAAAUAUUGUACUAAAUAGUCCACAUUUAAUUUGAGGAUUAAUGGAAAAAAACGUAUCAUUUCCCCUAUCCUUAAUAAACCGAUCUCUUCAUUCACGUUGAAGUGAAAGCGAAGAACUUCAUUCACGCCCUGGAUUCCGGAAUUGUAGAACUUCACAACAGGAUCAUUCCGUUCCUGUUAACUAAAAUACAAACACAAGUCCAUCAGCUACUUCAAAAAUGGUAUAAAUAAGAAACACAUUGAAUUAGAAUAGGAAAAAUAACCUUCCAGAUUGUCAAAUUAAGGAAGAGGAAACCACAUUAGACUACAAUAUUAAUAUUUGCACCUCGGCAUUUCUCGAUGCGUCCCAAUCCUAAUACCAUCUCCAUCGGUUCUCUUUGGCAUUGCAAAAUAAACCAUUUUUUUGAGCGAUCACAAAAUGAACUUGGAGGUUAACUUGUGCACACUAGAUAUUAAGAUUACACAUGUUCAUAUAUGCCAUUCUGUCCCAUCUCUACCUUCCCUCAUGUAAGCUCUGGAAUCCAUAGCAAGCACCUCGUCUCCCUUAUAAGCCAUACCUUUACAUGUGAACUUUGCAAUGUGACAGUGUCUAACUUACCACUUUGGGUAAUUGAUGAAUAGAACAGUCGUGAUUCCUGGCACAUAUAUGUUGGUUUAUUUUGCAGUACAAAUAUAGUAGAGAUAAAUAUGGAGAAGUAGGAGUGGGAGUGGGACACAUCAAGAAAUAGGUGCAAGCAUUGUGAUAGCCUGAACACCACAUCUGUAACGCCCUCAUAUGUGCCAGUUUACUUAAAACCGACACCUAUGAAAGGUUUCUCACACAGAUGAUCCCUUUUGACGGGAUCAAAUUAAGAAUCGGCAUCUAACGCACUCAUUGGUGUUGAUUUAUAAUAAAAACUAAUACCAAUAGUCUCACCAAGUCAUAUGUGUGUCAGUUCUCCGAUAAUGCUUCCCAGUUUGUUACCGUGCAUGCAUGGCCACGUUCUUCUCUUUUUUUUCCCUUUUCGUUGUCACAAUUUAACAAAUGUAAAUGGUUUAUAGUAUGAUCAAAAUGUUGGAAUCGUUGUAGACCUCAUAUGGAGUUUUCUGACACUAAAUGCUUAUCUUGGCUCAGUGUAGUCUGCACUCAAUUACAAACCAUGUGCUGCAUCUUUUCUACUGCUUGACCUAAUAGAUGCAACCAAAUUAAUUCAGUGCUCACUCUUUAUAAGGAAGAAGAAAGGAGAUGCUUGCUUAGGAUUUCAGAAAAAAAAAAGAAAUCAGCUUACUUGAGGGAAGGAAGAGAUGGAAAUUUUGUGCAUAUAUAUGUUGGCUUAAUAGCUAGUGUGCACCUUCCAAGCUUAUUUUUUGUGAUACCUAAAAAUUGGAUUAACUUGCAAUGAGAAAGAGAACUGAUAGACAUACAGGACUAGGACUGGGACACAUCAAGAAAUGCAGAGGUGCCACAUUAACAUUGUAUCCUAGGUUGGUUUUCUCUUCCUCCCUUAGUCUGGAAGUGGAGGAGCUCUUAUGAGUGUAGCUUAUGGUAUUGGGCUGGAGCUUCUGUACAUGAUGUACUGCAUGAGCUCUUUCUUCAGUCGCUCGCCCUAGAUGCUUAAUCUAGUUGGUAAUGUGCUGAUCAUAGUGGUCUAGUUCUACUGGUCUGGCGUGUUUGUAGAAGUGUUAUGGUUGUUUUUUUAGAGGUUUCUUUGAGUUUGACCUUUCCUCUUUACUUUCUCUUAUUUUCUUAACGAAAUGAAGCUUAACUUUACUGUGUGUUUGAGGGAAAAAAACAGACGUUAAGAGGCUCUCAUGAUCUGAUAUAA